AUGAACGCUAGCUACAGGCUUAACACAUGCAAGUCGAGGGGCAGCAUGGUCUUAGCUUGCUAAGGCCGAUGGCGACCGGCGCACGGGUGAGUAACACGUAUCCAACCUGCCGUCUACUCUUGGACAGCCUUCUGAAAGGAAGAUUAAUACAAGAUGGCAUCAUGAGUCCACAUGUUCACAUGAUUAAAGGUAUUCCGGUAGACGAUGGGGAUGCGUUCCAUUAGAUAGUAGGCGGGGUAACGGCCCACCUAGUCUUCGAUGGAUAGGGGUUCUGAGAGGAAGGUCCCCCACAUUGGAACUGAGACACGGUCCAAACUCCUACGGGAGGCAGCAGUGAGGAAUAUUGGUCAAUGGGCGAGAGCCUGAACCAGCCAAGUAGCGUGAAGGAUGACUGCCCUAUGGGUUGUAAACUUCUUUUAUAAAGGAAUAAAGUCGGGUAUGCAUACCCGUUUGCAUGUACUUUAUGAAUAAGGAUCGGCUAACUCCGUGCCAGCAGCCGCGGUAAUACGGAGGAUCCGAGCGUUAUCCGGAUUUAUUGGGUUUAAAGGGAGCGUAGAUGGAUGUUUAAGUCAGUUGUGAAAGUUUGCGGCUCAACCGUAAAAUUGCAGUUGAUACUGGAUAUCUUGAGUGCAGUUGAGGCAGGCGGAAUUCGUGGUGUAGCGGUGAAAUGCUUAGAUAUCACGAAGAACUCCGAUUGCGAAGGCAGCCUGCUAAGCUGCAACUGAUAUUGAGGCUCGAAAGUGUGGGUAUCAAACAGGAUUAGAUACCCUGGUAGUCCACACGGUAAACGAUGAAUACUCGCUGUUUGCGAUAUACUGCAAGCGGCCAAGCGAAAGCGUUAAGUAUUCCACCUGGGGAGUACGCCGGCAACGGUGAAACUCAAAGGAAUUGACGGGGGCCCGCACAAGCGGAGGAACAUGUGGUUUAAUUCGAUGAUACGCGAGGAACCUUACCCGGGCUUAAAUUGCAGAUGAAUUACGGUGAAAGCCGUAAGCCGCAAGGCAUCUGUGAAGGUGCUGCAUGGUUGUCGUCAGCUCGUGCCGUGAGGUGUCGGCUUAAGUGCCAUAACGAGCGCAACCCUUGUUGUCAGUUACUAACAGGUUCCGCUGAGGACUCUGACAAGACUGCCAUCGUAAGAUGUGAGGAAGGUGGGGAUGACGUCAAAUCAGCACGGCCCUUACGUCCGGGGCUACACACGUGUUACAAUGGGGGGUACAGAGGGCCGCUACCACGCGAGUGGAUGCCAAUCCCCAAAACCUCUCUCAGUUCGGACUGGAGUCUGCAACCCGACUCCACGAAGCUGGAUUCGCUAGUAAUCGCGCAUCAGCCACGGCGCGGUGAAUACGUUCCCGGGCCUUGUACACACCGCCCGUCAAGCCAUGGGAGCCGGGGGUACCUGAAGUGCGUAACCGCGAGGAGCGCCCUAGGGUAAAACUGGUGACUGGGGC
rnacentral:rRNA from 1 species